ensembl:lncRNA
GAUAAACUGGGGAGAGGCUUUUGGCUUCCAAGAUCAAAGACAAACCUGAAGGAUUCAAAGCUGGAGCCAGAGAGGGCGGCAUUAGACUGCCCACUGUUUUCCUAUCCCUGCCUCUUCCCCGCGGCAGGAGAAUGCUCUUCCCUAGGAUCAUGCCCCCUGCCUGCCUGGGCUGACUGCAGACGAGCAGGAAAGCAGGGUUUCGACUAACAGCUCUCACCAACUAUUGCCAACACAGAUGAAUUAAGACACCAGGGGAAGAGAUGAGGAUACGCACGACCAGCAGUUGGAAGAGGAGGAACACUGACGUCGGAGCUGGGCCAUACAAAUCCUGUCUUUGGAGCUGAAGGGGUUUCUCUGAUGGGAAAACAACCUUGGUUGUUCCAUAGAAACAAAGAAUCCACCUGCCAGUGGGGUUCAGUUUCUGAUCUGGGAUGAUCCCAGACGCCGCGGAGCAACGGAGCCUGGGAACCACAACUACCGAAGCCCACGUGCCCUAGAGCCUGUGCUCCGCAACAGAGAAGCCACUGCAGAGAGAAGCAGCCCACACACUGCAACCAGAGAAAAGCCCUGGCAGCCAAAAUAAGGAAAUAAAAUUACUUUUAAAAAAAUAAAAAGAAACACCAGGGUGAGCCCGUCCGGUCUCCACAUGCGAAUCACCUGUCUGGAGGGCACGUGGGAACCACGGUGCUCAUUCCUGCCUGACUUGACGAGUGAGGAGAGAGAGAGGACCUCGGAUUUGUAUAAAGAGCAGGGACAAGAGGUGAAUAGAGGGUGGAGCGGGUCCUGGGAGGGGCCAUUUCCAUUCCUGGAACUUUUCUCCUGCCGAGAACCAAGGCUAGAGUCCACGGGGCCCGAGGCAGCUGGGGUUAACACUGGACAAGGGACAGAGAGCAUUCACCCUGGUCCCUGUAUGCCUCGGAUUUCAGAACAGGUGACGCGCCCAUUCUUGGCACUUGGAGCUGAUAAAUCAGCCUGGUGCUGGGCCCAGGCCAGUUGGGUUUCUCCUGGAGCAGUAAAUACAAACCCCUGACUUAGCAGGAUGUGACUGGCCUCCCUGCUCCAGCCUGUCACCCCCACAGUCCUCACCCUUUGCCUGCACAGUCCUCCAUGUCUCUUGUCUUUAGACCCUAGCAACACUGCCCCAUCUACCUGAGACCCUCUCCCCAGCCCUGCUUCCUUUAUCUGGUUAACCCUGCUCCUUUCUCAGGUCUCAGCUGAGCCACCCCUCCUUCUAGAAGUUUCCUGUGAUUCCACCCCCAAGUCCAGGGGAGCUGCCUCUGCUUCGAGCUCCCAUGUGUCCUCCACACACCCCUUCAA